UUCUUUCAUUCCUUCUAAUGUGUGGAAAGAAAUGGUAGACAAAUGGAUGGGAGAUAAUUGGCAGCACAAAAGUGAUAAGAAUAAAAUUAAUCGAUCACAAUCUCAAAUCAUUCAUACUACUGGCAGAGUUUCCAUGGCCAAGUAUAGGAGUGACAUGGUUAAAGAGACAGGGUCAGAGCUAGGCCCAAUUGAUUGCUUUAAAAAAUUCCACACUAAAAAGAAUGGAGAGAGUUGGGCUACUGAGA